ACUCCACUCCAGGAUGCAGUGCAUCACCUCAUUGGGUGAUGACUAUUCCGUUCUGCUUGGAGUGAACUUCAAGAUGCAGUGAAUAAAAAACCCAAAGAGGGUAAAGUGUUAAGUGUUAAUGUUGCGAAUAAAGUGGUUGCGGUGAU